CCGAUUCUCAGUCUCGGAGAUAAAAGGAGAAGAGAGAGAGAGAGGGAAAAGAGUACUGGAAGGUAGGUGCGAUGGUGGAUUGGAUUUCCGAGACGAUCAACGGCGGAUCCCUACGCCUUGUCGACCUUCAGACGGGGAUAAAUGGUUGGGCCUCGCCGCCGGGCGACCUCUUUGUUCUCCGUUCCAAGAACUACUUGGAAAAACGGCAAAAAUCUCCGUCUGGCGAUUACCUGCUUUCUCCCGCCGGUGUUGAUUGGCUGAAAUCUAGUACCAAGCUUGACAACGUCCUUGCUCGCCCUGACAAUCGCGUCGCGCAAGCGUUGAGGAGAGCGCAAGGCGUAGGUAAGUCGAUGAAGAGCUUCAUUAUUGCGGUUAAUAUUCAAGUACCUGGGAAGGAUCAGUACAGUGCCGUGUUCUACUUUGCUACUGAAGAUCCGAUUCCAUCUGGCUCGCUUCUUCACCGAUUCAUUAAUGGCGAUGAUUUAUUCAGAAAUCAACGGUUGAAAUUGGUGAAUCGGAUCGUGAAAGGGCCAUGGAUUGUUAAGAAAGCAGUAGGAAAUUACAGUGCGUGUUUGUUAGGGAAGGCAUUGACGUGCAAUUACCACAGAGGACCUAAUUAUUUGGAGAUUGAUGUAGAUAUGGGGAGCUCAGCGUUAGCCAGUGCGAUUUUGCAUCUCGCGCUUGGAUACGUUACCAACGUAACAGUAGAUAUGGGGUUUCUGGUGGAGGGGCAGACGGAGGAGGAGUUGCCGGAAAGGCUGUUCGGCGCCGUCCGGAUUUGCCAGAUGGAGAUGUCGUCGGCGACUAUCGUAGACGCGCCGACAUUGGCGCGUGGAUUAUCAUGUGCCAAGGUGAAUCACCACAAACCUGGCGACGACGACAACUGAUUCGAUUCGAUUAGCGGAAAUGCAUGCAUCAUAUGAACUGUAGACUGUUUUUCAAAGAAUUUUAGAGUAUUGAGAUUGUUGGUUUGCAGUGUGACUGUCACAGGAGGACAAGAAGUUAUGGGAAGAUUCUCUACUGUGAAGCCGACUUCUAAAUUACAGACAGCAUUGAAUGCUGUAUAUACAUAUAUACAUACAUAUCUAUAUAUAUAUACAUAUAUACAUACAUUAUGUCUUAUUUCCUUAACCAUAGACAAAAUGAUUUAAUCU